AUUGAACGCUGGCGGCAGGCCUAACACAUGCAAGUCGAGCGGAUGAAGGGAGCUUGCUCCUGGAUUCAGCGGCGGACGGGUGAGUAAUGCCUAGGAAUCUGCCUUGUAGUGGGGGAUAACGUCCGGAAACGGGCGCUAAUACCGCAUACGUCCUGAGUGAGAAAGUGGGGGAUCUUCGGACCUCACGCUAUCAGAUGAGCCUAUGUCGGAUUAGCUAGUUGGUGGGGUAAAGGCCUACAAAGGCGACGAUCCGUAACUGGUCUGAGAGGAUGAUCAGUCACACUGGAACUGAGACACGGUCCAGACUCCUACGGGAGGCAGCAGUGGGGAAUAUUGGACAAUGGGCGAAAGCCUGAUCCAGCCAUGCCGCGUGUGUGAAGAAGGUCUUCGGAUUGUAAAGCACUUUAAGUUGGGAGGAAGGGCAGUAAGUUAAUACCUUGCUGUUUUGACGAUACCAACAGAAUAAGCACCGGCUAACUUCGUG
rnacentral:rRNA from 1 species